rnacentral:rRNA from 3 species
AAAUUGAAGAGUUUGAUCAUGGCUCAGAUUGAACGCUGGCGGCAGGCCUAACACAUGCAAGUCGAACGGUAACAGGAAGCAGCUUGCUGCUUCGCUGACAAGUGGCGGACGGGUGAGUAAUGUCUGGGAAACUGCCUGAUGGAGGGGGAUAACUACUGGAAACGGUGGCUAAUACCGCAUAACGUCGCAAGACCAAAGAGGGGGACCUUCGGGCCUCUUGCCAUCAGAUGUGCCCAGAUGGGAUUAGCUAGUUGGUGAGGUAACGGCUCACCAAGGCGACGAUCCCUAGCUGGUCUGAGAGGAUGACCAGCCACACUGGAACUGAGACACGGUCCAGACUCCUACGGGAGGCAGCAGUGGGGAAUAUUGCACAAUGGGCGCAAGCCUGAUGCAGCCAUGCCGCGUGUAUGAAGAAGGCCUUCGGGUUGUAAAGUACUUUCAGCGGGGAGGAAGGUGUUGUGGUUAAUAACC